CGCUGACAGUUUCUAAUUUCAUAUAUAUCUUCACUCAGGCCCGUCCAUUUGGGCUGCUUUUGUUGUAAUGUUUCCUUGUUAGAAAGGAGUUUGUGUUGUGGACAAUUGUUUCUGGAAGGAGGACUUAGCUUUGUAAUAACUCAACCCAGAAAAGGGAAAGGAAUACAACCAUGGUGUUUUAUGAAAGAAUGAUUGAAGACUGCGGGCAGAGCGGUGACAACAUGGCAGAUAGAAGGCAACUGUUUGUCGAGAUGAGGGCUCAAGACUUGGAUUCCAUACGAUUAUCAACAUACAGAACAGCCUGCAAACUCAGAUUUGUGCAAAAGAAAUGCAACUUGCAUUUGGUUGAUAUUUGGAAUGUCAUUGAGGCUUUUCGAGAGAACGGCCUCAACACCAUGGACCUCAAUGCUGAUCUCUCUGUGGCUCGUCUGGAAAUGGUACUGUCCACCAUCUUUUACCAGCUGAACAAACGCAUGCCCACCACCCACCAGAUCAACGUGGAGCAGUCCAUCAGCCUGCUGCUCAACUUCCUGCUGGCAGCCUACGACCCCGAGGGCCAUGGCAAGAUAUCUGUCUUUGUUGUGAAGAUGGCCCUAGCAACCAUCUGUGGUGGGAAGAUUCUGGAUAAAUUAAGAUAUAUUUUUUCACAGAUAUCAGAUUCCGCUGGAAUAAUGGUGUAUUCACAGUUCGACCAAUUUCUGAGGGAGGUUCUCAAAUUACCGAUGGCGGUUUUUGAGGGACCUUCUUUUGGUUACACAGAACAAGCUGCAAGAACCUGCUUUGCACAGCAGAAAAAGGUCUCCCUCAACACAUUCCUCGAUACGUUGAUGUCAGACCCGCCCCCUCAGUGUCUGGUGUGGUUGCCGCUCAUGCAUCGGCUCGCCAACGUGGAGAACGUCUUUCACCCGGUCGAGUGCUCCUAUUGCCAUACUGAGAGUAUGAUGGGCUUCCGCUACCGCUGCCAGCAAUGUCAUAAUUACCAGCUCUGUCAGGACUGCUUCUGGAGGGGGCAUGCCAGCGGUUCCCAUAGCAACCAGCACCAAAUGAAGGAGUAUACGUCAUGGAAAUCCCCUGCUAAGAAGUUAUCCCAUGCACUCAGUAAGUCACUGAGCUGUGCAUCCAGCAGAGAGCCUCUUCACCCCUUGUUUCUCGAAAUGCCAGAGAAACCUCUCAACCUAGCUCAUAUUGUGCCACCAAGACCGGUGAACAUCACCAAUGACUACUCACUCUCCCACUCCAUGCCUACAUCAGGGAACCCUUACUCCACCAAAAACAAGAAUAAUGAUGUUGAGCAAAGAAAGCCCCUGACUGGGGCUGCUCCCCAUCUGUUGAAAGGGAGAGGGUUGAACUACAACCUCGAUGUUGCUGAUAGACUUGCUGACGAACAUGUUCUCAUUGGCCUCUAUGUGAAUCUACUCCAAAACAACCCCAAAACAUGUUUGCUGGAGAGCAGUAACCAUCAGGAUGAAGAGCACAGUCUCAUCGCCCGCUAUGCUGCUAGACUGGCUGCUGAUGCUGCGGCUCAACAGCAGAGGGUCCCCACAGACCUCCCCUGCUCUCUGGAUGCCAACAAACAGCAGAGGCAGCUCAUUGCUGAGCUCGAGAGCAAAAACAGAGAGAUCCUGCAGGAAAUCCAGCGGCUGCGCCUCCAGCAUGAGGAGGCCUCCCAGCCGCCUCCUGACAGGGGUCAGCAGAACCCCACUCUGCUGGCUGAGCUACGACUUCUCAGGCAACGCAAAGAUGAGCUUGAACAAAGAAUGUCUACUCUGCAGGAGAGUCGCAGGGAGCUCAUGGUGCAGCUGGAGCAGCUAAUGAUGCUUCUCAAGCUGGAGGAGGAACGGAAACAAGCUACUCAGGGUCCCGGCUCUCCACGCUCUUCCCCCAGCCACACCAUCAGCCGGCCAAUCCCCACACCAAUCCACUCGGACUCCGCCGGCACGACCCCGACUCACACACCUCAGGACUCACUCAUGGGCGUGGGAGGGGAUGUUCAGGAGGCCUUCGCUCAGGGUCCAAGGAGAAAUCUGAGAAAUGACCUGCUCAUUGCUGCUGACUCCAUCACCAACACAAUGUCGUCACUGGUUAAGGAACUCAAUUCAGAGGGUGGAAGUGAGACUGAGAGCACUGUGGAUUCAGACUUCGGACGCGGUGACCUGUUGGCCACAACCUCUUCAGAUCCCUUCAUCACCUAUAAACCAAGGAGCGCCGGCGCUGCAGAGGAGGAGAGCUUUGAGAACGACCUGGAGCAGCAGCUGGAGGACGAGCUCAAGUUGGAGGAGCUAAUGAAGCACAGGCAGGAGCCAGACAAAACCUGCAUGUUCUAAUUCUAACCUGCUGUAUGUGCUGUGGUGGUGUUCAUGUUGUGGUGCAGGUGACUCUGCAGCAGUGACUGUGUUACUGGUGAGCAAUACGUAAAGCAACAAUAGUAGGAGACACUGGAUGGGACAACACUGGGCCGACAGUACAGAGCACUGAAGAUAAGAAGAAUUUAAGUUGAAAAAAACUGCUAAAUCCAACCAUAGAAUACGUUUAUGUAAAGAUAUAUAUUUUUAACCAACCACAUAUUUAAGGUAAUACUGUGAGCUGAUGUAAAGAGAUUAAUUACUGAGCUGUCUAUUAUACCACAGGUGCCAUAAAAACCACAUGAUUUUGGGAAUUUUUUCUUAAUUUUUAUCCUUUUUCUAUGAGUUAUCUAACAAAUGUACAACAGUACUGUUUGUACAGGGUGACAAACUUGACCCCUUCAAAUUGUCACGUCUCUGAAUGCAGUGAACCAGGUUUAAGGGUUUGUUUGUCAUCUGAUUUAUGUUAGAAACCUGAGAUUAUGUUGGAGUUGAAGAUGAUAAAAUUUGCAAUCUUUUUGUAAAUGUAUAACUCUGGCCUGGUUACUAUGAACAGAUUUUAUCACUAUUCCAUAGAUUUCUUACUGUUGCUGUCGAGUGGCUUUUGUAUUGUUUUUUGACUUGUUUUUGGAGCAGGCCGACUGCUAUUGAUCAGAUAAGUUUGUUUUAUUGAUACAUUAGUAAUAAUAAUGCACACUGCCUUAGCUGAUUGGAUGACCUCUCAAAGGAGUUCAUUCAAACUGUCAAUGCAGCAUGUAGCUAACAACAAAACACACCUGUUCAGCAGCAGUGCUAGUUGUUUUCACAGGAAAAAUGAGGUGAAACUCAUGUAAUCUGAUGCUGGGAAGUGAUUUUGUCUGCAGAGAGACUUGGUCUGCAAAUAUGUACACUGUCUACAUAUAAAUGGUCAAUAAAAUAUAAGAUAUAGAUGGACUGAAAGUGUUUUAAAACGCAGUGAAAAAGAUGUAACACAGAGACCUCCAAAUUGCUCAAAUUCAAAGGUUUACAUUGGUAAGGGAUUUGAACAAAUUGUGUUUACUAUCAAUGGUUUAUGAAUUAAGGUUCGAUCAAAGAUCAUUUGCCAUUGUUUCAUUUGUUAGCAUCAAUGCUCUCACACAAAUCUGUGCAUGACUUGCACACCAAGAUACACACUCAUGAUGUAUUUUCUGAGUGUGCGUGAAACUUUACUCAGUCACUUUGAGAGAAGUGGCAAGCCAAUCUAAAAUCAUAAAUGUGUGAAAUAUAUCUAGUUUGAUUUUUGAGCAAGUUCAUAGCAGUGAUUUUGCAUGGUGGUGAUGCAUAAUAAAGUGUUGACACAAUAUCACAA